rnacentral:lncRNA from 1 species
UUAAAAUUCCAGAAGGUAAACUAGUAAUUUAUUGUUGCUCAUAAGCAUAGGUAAACAGACAUGGUACCACAAUAAAGGAAUCUUAAACACUUCUAACCUUUUGGAAUAGGUUUGAAUAUGGACCAAUAUACUUUGCCAAUGGACCUAAUAGAUUACCAAUAUACUUCUAAAUAAAUUUAACCAAGAUGCUUAGGAAGAUGCAAAAGGACAGCAGUACUUAAGCCUGUCAUAUUUAUCACCAAUAUAACUGUAUUGCUAUUAAAAGUAAAAUCAUGGUAGGGAGCAGCCAACUAAUUGCUAGUCUCAGUUCAUAGAUUUAGUAUUUUUUGAAAAUAAUUCACCUCAGAUGGCAGGCUAUACAAGUUUAAAGUAGUUUUAACUUAACCUUUUGUGUACUAGUGAAAGCAAUUCAGAUAGAUCCCAAGUCAAAGAACCAAACAGUGUAUCAAGUUGGGUUUCAUAUCAGAAAUCAGCCAUUUCCAAACAACUGCAUCGUAUAGGACGUUUUCUUUCAGACUGCCUUUUAUUCCUGGCUUCAAAUCUUACUCACAGUAUAUGUUUUUAGAGAGUUUGGUAAGUGUAACAAAUGGGUACUCAUUGCUAGAGCAGGAUAUAAGAAUGUGCUGAUCACCAAGUAUGAGAUUUACAUUACAUUAAAUUAAAAUUAUAUAAUGUUGGAAAUAGACAAUAUAGGGAGUUCCCGGAUCCUAGAAAAUAUUAUGGCUAAGGAAACAGAGAACUCAAGAAAUGAAUCUACCUCCAAGAAACUAAUUCAGUAUAGUAAAAUAGAAUUAAGUGCCCUGUCUCAGGAAAAAGUUUAUUAAGAAUAAGGAACAAGUGGGACAUCAUACAUCGUUUCUUUGGAGAUUAAAGUGCAGGCUAUGAAAUGGCAUAUAAAAUAAUGCAUAAAAUAGUGCAAUCUUAAGGUGCCAUUAUUUUUAUU